CAAGAAAUUUGUUCCGGGGGUGAUCUCCGGGUGAGCUAAAAUUAGGCCGACGUGCUCCGAAUUGAGCUCACAGCCAACAAAAGAAGGUCAAGGGAGACAGGCAGGAUGAAGACGACGAAGAAAACGAGCAAGACAAAAUUGGGGGUGGGAGCGUCUCUGCUCACCUUUUCAGCUCGCUAGCUUGUUGUUUACCGGAAGACACGACAGGACAACUCCAAACGACGCUGGAAUCCGAAAACUAGUUGGCCCGCCCCCGCGGCCUCCUUGAGCGAGAGCAACGGAGAGACGACGCAACAUCCGCUUGCGCCACAGUGCCAGCCACCUGUCGCACCUUCCUUUAUUCGGGGUUCUUGGCCUGGCCUCUCUGCAUUGCCCUCUCCCGUCACUUUCUCGCUGAUUCCACAAACGGCUCAUCUCCCUCCACGGCAAAGCGAAGUGGCCUGCUCAUCUCCCUCCACGGCACGGCAGCGAGACAUCGCCGUUAAACGUCGACUUCGCGUUUAAUUCCGCACGCAAGUGGACGGUGGGAUUCAUGGCGAGGAGGAGACGAACGUGAAGAAGGCUGAUGGCCGCUGGGAUGAUUCACUGUUGGUGUUGGGGGGUUCCAGGCGAUUCCGUCCGCUGCCACACACUGUGCUAUGAGCGAGGCCGCGUGUUUUGUCGGAACACGGGAAAAGAAUAAGUGGCGGUCCAUAUUUAAAGGAUGGGUAUUCAAAAUUAAUUGAAUGGUAAGUAGAUUUCUACUCAUGAUUUUCUGGCCACCAAAUGAGACCUAAGUGACAAAAAAUGAUAUAUACAUAUAUAAUGCCUUAUAAAGUCUAGCUAUUUAUUAGUAUGCAGUGUGAUAUAUUACAUAUUUAUAUAGCAACAGUUUUAUAGUAUACACAUACUAUAUAUAUUAAAUAAGAUAAAAUCUUAGAUGGGCAUAAGUUUGAUACAAAAUAAUUUUAUUCAAUACCAGUGAUAAGAGCUAACAUUUGAAAUAUAUCUAGAUGUAGCCAGGCACUGCGGCUACACGCGUGGCAGCUGCCAGAAGUCCGAUGGCAACAGCUGCUAUUACUACUUUGCUAGGACAUGGAGUCACGUGCUUGUCUUCUUCGGGCGACCGCACGAAGCUAAAUGUUAAGUCGUUAACUUCGAGAGACCGAGAUAACUAAGAUGGACAUGGUAGACUGCUCCACUGCUGCUGGAUUCUUGAAUGAUAAAACUUUUUUAUUUUAUUUUUUUGCAAAUACAUGAGUUUUUAAUUAUAUGCAUUUAUUAUUUGUAUAAAAAUCUUGGGUAGACCCGCUCCUAACAGACAUAAUUGAGUUUUAGAUGCGUAACGUACGACCUUAUUUAAUAUGUUAUCCUGAUGGGUCUAUAAAGAUUAAUUUAAAGAAGUACAAGAG
rnacentral:lncRNA from 1 species